rnacentral:lncRNA from 1 species
GAGCACCAGCAUCCACAGCUGCUUGAGGAGGAAACAUCAACAGAAAGCAAAACAAUUAAUCAUCCACUGAUGGAGGAGGAGGAUGAUGAAGAUGGAGGACAGGAGCACCAGUAUCCACAGCAUCCUGAGGAAACAUCAACAGGGGACAGAAAGACUUCUAUUCACCAAAACAAUACAGGAGUGCCAGCAUCCACUGAUGGAGGAGGAGGAUGAUGAAGAAGAUGGAGGACAUUAGCACCAGUAUCCACAGCUGCCUGAGGAGGAAACAUCAACAGAAAGCAAAACAAUCAAAACAAUUAAUGUAAGUAAAGCCUCUCAUUGGCACAGAAAGACACUGAACUAAUGUUUAAUGUAAAAAUAGAGGUGACUUUAUACUAAUGCCUGUAAAAUGUUGGACUGGAACAACGGCAUCUACUGAUGGAGGAGGAGGAUGAAGAUGGAGGACAGGAGCACCAGCAUCCACAGCAUCCUGAGGAGGAAACAUUACCAGAGGACAGAAAGACUUCUAUUCACCAAAACAAUCAAUAGUUUUGCUUCAGAGGAGAAUCCGACAGUUCCAGAUGUUCGUCACCAGCACUGCAGUGUUUACACAGACUGCUUUGGUUUCAACUUUCUACAAAAAACUGUUGAAUUUUCAACUCACUUUCCAUCUGAAUCCAAGCUCAUCUUCAUCACUGGGAUGUUUCUUCAUCAGUUCUUCGUACAGACUGACACAGCUCACACAUGGAGAAGAUGAUUUAUGGAAUAUGACAUUUAGAUUUUUCCUUUUCUCAACAGUAUGAUGCAUACAUCCCAACCCAAAUUUCAUGCAUUUUUUUUGGCUUAACUUGAGCCAAUUUCCAUCAAUAAAUUGCUAAUGUAUUAUUAUUAUUGACUAUUA